CCUGUAGACAUGCAAGAGUUUCAGUCCAUUACCAACAAUCAUUGCUACACCAGCCAGCCUGUUAGAGAGGUGUCAAUAUCGUCAUCACCAUCCUCUAGCAGGAUGAUUGGGAUCUCAAAAAUUCAGGUUAUUGUAUAUAUUGGCAACUUUAGCCCGUUCCCGAUGCAAUUUGAAGACAAUUCUUCAAUUGAGCACAUUGUGUGUGCAACUUUUCAAAAACAAAAUAUCAACAAAUUUGAUGCAAUCAUCCGAGUGAAUGGCCGCAAUGCUUAUCUUGAGGAUACAUUGUCUUAUUUGAACAUUAAUAAUGACAAAGAGUGUAGUCUCUAUA